rnacentral:rRNA from 1 species
GCUGGCGGCAGGCCUAACACAUGCAAGUCGAGCGCGCCUUCGGGUGAGCGGCGGACGGGUUAGUAACGCGUGGGAACGUGCCCUUCUCUACGGAAUAGCCUCUGGAAACGGAGAGUAAUACCGUAUACGCCCUUUGGGGGAAAGAUUUAUCGGAGAAGGAUCGGCCCGCGUUAGAUUAGGUAGUUGGUGGGGUAACGGCCUACCAAGCCUACGAUCUAUAGCUGGUUUUAGAGGAUGAUCAGCAACACUGGGACUGAGACACGGCCCAGACUCCUACGGGAGGCAGCAGUGGGGAAUCUUAGACAAUGGGGGCAACCCUGAUCUAGCCAUGCCGCGUGAGUGAUGAAGGCCUUAGGGUCGUAAAGCUCUUUCGCCUGUGAUGAUAAUGACAGUAGCAGGUAAAGAAACCCCGGCUAACUCCGUGCCAGCAGCCGCGGUAAUACGGAGGGGGUUAGCGUUGUUCGGAAUUACUGGGCGUAAAGCGCGCGUAGGCGGAUUAGAAAGUUGGGGGUGAAAUCCCGGGGCUCAACCCCGGAACUGCCUCCAAAACUGCUAGUCUAGAGUUCGAGAGAGGUGAGUGGAAUUCCGAGUGUAGAGGUGAAAUUCGUAGAUAUUCGGAGGAACACCAGUGGCGAAGGCGGCUCACUGGCUCGAUACUGACGCUGAGGUGCGAAAGUGUGGGGAGCAAACAGGAUUAGAUACCCUG